rnacentral:rRNA from 1 species
UGUGGGUCACACUGGAACGGUGGCUAUACCGGAUGAGCCGAAAGGUAAAAGAUUAUAUUGCCUAGAGAUGAGCUCGCGUCUGAUUAGCUAGUUGGUGUGGUAUGAGCGCACCAAGGCGACGAUCAGUAGCUGGUCUGAGAGGAUGAUCAGCCACACUGGGACUGAGACACGGCCCAGACUCCUACGGGAGGCAGCAGUGGGGAAUUUACCGCAAUGGGCGAAAGCCUGACGGAGCAAUACCGCGUGUGGGAGGAAGGCUCUUGGGUUGUAAACCUCUUUUCUCAAGGAAUAAGAAAGUGAAGGUACUUGAGGAAUAACCAUCGGCUAACUCCGGGCCACCACCCGCGGUAAGACGGAGGAUGCAACCGUUAUCCGGAAGGAUGGGGCGUAAAGGGUCCGCAGGUGGCAUUGUGUGUCUGCUGUUAAAGAGUGAGGCUCAACCUCAUAAAAGCAGUAGAAACUACAAAGCUAGAGUGCGUUCGGGGUAGCAGGAAUUCCUGGUGUAGCGGUGAAAUGCGUAGAGAUCAGGAAGUACACCGGUGGCGAAAGCGUGCUACUAGGCCGUAACUGACACUGAGGGACGAAAGCUAGGGGAGCGAAUGGGAUUAGAUACCCCAGUAGUCCUAGCCCGUAAACGAUGGAUACUAGGCGUGGCUUUGUAUCGACCCCGAGCCCGUGCCGGAGCUAACGCGUUAAGUAUCCCGCCUGGGGAGUACGCACGCAAGUGUGAAACUCAAAGGAAUUGACGGGGGCCCCGCACAAGCGGUGGAGUAUGUGGUUUAAUUCGAUGCAACGCGAAGAACCUUACCAAGACUUGACAUGUCGCGAAUCUUCCUGAAAGGGGAGAGUGCCUUAGGGAGCGCGAACACAGGUGGUGCGUGGCUGUCGUCAGCUCGUGUCGUGUGAUGUUGGGUUAAGCCCCGCAACGAGCGCAACCCUCGUUUUUAGUUGCCAGCAUUAAGUUGGGCACUCUAGAGAGACUGCCGGUGACAAACCGGAGGAAGGUGGGGAUGACGUCAAGUCAGCAUGCCCCUGUACGUCUUGGGCUACACACGUACUACAAUGCUAUGAACAAAGGGCAGCUACACAGUCGAUGUGACUGCUAAUCUCAGAAAUCGUAGCUCAGUUCAGAUCGAAGGCUGCAACUCGCCUUCGUGAAGGAGGAAUCGCUAGUAAUUGCAGGUCAGCAUACUGCAGUGAAUUCGUUCCCGGGCCUUGUACACACCGCCCGUCACACCAUGGAAGCUGGU